rnacentral:rRNA from 1 species
GAUGAACGCUGGCGGCGUGCCUAAUACAUGCAAGUCGAGCGAACGGACGAGAAGCUUGCUUCUCUGAUGUUAGCGGCGGACGGGUGAGUAACACGUGGAUAACCUACCUAUAAGACUGGGAUAACUUCGGGAAACCGGAGCUAAUACCGGAUAAUAUUUUGAACCGCAUGGUUCAAAGGUGAAAGACGGUCUUGCUGUCACUUAUAGAUGGAUCCGCGCUGCAUUAGCUAGUUGGUAAGGUAACGGCUUACCAAGGCAACGAUGCAUAGCCGACCUGAGAGGGUGAUCGGCCACACUGGAACUGAGACACGGUCCAGACUCCUACGGGAGGCAGCAGUAGGGAAUCUUCCGCAAUGGGCGAAAGCCUGACGGAGCAACGCCGCGUGAGUGAUGAAGGUCUUCGGAUCGUAAAACUCUGUUAUUAGGGAAGAACAUAUGUGUAAGUAACUGUGCACAUCUUGACGGUACCUAAUCAGAAAGCCACGGCUAACUACGUGCCAGCAGCCGCGGUAAUACGUAGGUGGCAAGCGUUAUCCGGAAUUAUUGGGCGUAAAGCGCGCGUAGGCGGUUUUUUAAGUCUGAUGUGAAAGCCCACGGCUCAACCGUGGAGGGUCAUUGGAAACUGGAAAACUUGAGUGCAGAAGAGGAAAGUGGAAUUCCAUGUGUAGCGGUGAAAUGCGCAGAGAUAUGGAGGAACACCAGUGGCGAAGGCGACUUUCUGGUCUGUAACUGACGCUGAUGUGCGAAAGCGUGGGGAUCAAACAGGAUUAGAUACCCUGGUAGUCCACGCCGUAAACGAUGAGUGCUAAGUGUUAGGGGGUUUCCGCCCCUUAGUGCUGCAGCUAACGCAUUAAGCACUCCGCCUGGGGAGUACGACCGCAAGGUUGAAACUCAAAGGAAUUGACGGGGACCCGCACAAGCGGUGGAGCAUGUGGUUUAAUUCGAAGCAACGCGAAGAACCUUACCAAAUCUUGACAUCCUUUGACAACUCUAGAGAUAGAGCUUUCCCCUUCGGGGGACAAAGUGACAGGUGGUGCAUGGUUGUCGUCAGCUCGUGUCGUGAGAUGUUGGGUUAAGUCCCGCAACGAGCGCAACCCUUAAGCUUAGUUGCCAUCAUUAAGUUGGGCACUCUAAGUUGACUGCCGGUGACAAACCGGAGGAAGGUGGGGAUGACGUCAAAUCAUCAUGCCCCUUAUGAUUUGGGCUACACACGUGCUACAAUGGACAAUACAAAGGGCAGCGAAACCGUGAGGUCAAGCAAAUCCCAUAAAGUUGUUCUCAGUUCGGAUUGUAGUCUGCAACUCGACUACAUGAAGCUGGAAUCGCUAGUAAUCGUAGAUCAGCAUGCUACGGUGAAUACGUUCCCGGGUCU